GAUUCGUUAGCUCAGUUGGUAGAGCAUCUGACUUUUAAUCAGAGGGUCGGGAGUUCGAGCCUCCCACGGAUCA
rfam:Aerococcus urinae ACS-120-V-Col10a, complete genome.